rnacentral:rRNA from 1 species
UAUGGCACCGGCGAAAGGCUCAGUAACACGUUACUAAUCUGCCCUCAAGUUAAGGAUAGCCAUGGGAAACUGUGGGUAAUACUUAAUAUGAUAUAUCAUCUGGAAUGAGAUAUAUCUCAAAGCUACGGCGCUUGAGGAUGAGGUAGCGGCAGAUUAGGUUGUUGGUAGGGUAAUGGCCUACCAAGCCGAUGAUCUGUAGGGGCCAUGAGAGUGGUAGCCCCGAGAGGGUCACUGAGAUACUGGACCCAGCCCUACGGGGUGCAGCAGGCGCGAAACCUUUACAAUGCACGAAAGUGUGAUAAGGGAAUCCGAAGUGCUCAUGCUAAGCAGGGCUUUUCUUAACAUUAAAUCUGUUGGGGAAUAAGUGGUGGGCAAGACUGGUGCCAGCAGCCGCGGUAACACCAGCGCCACGAGUGGCAAUCGCAUAUUGGGCCUAAAGCGUCCGUAGUCGGUUUGAUACAUCUCUUGUGAAGUUGUUGGGCUCAACUCAACAGCGUGCAGGAGACACGGUCUCACUUGGAACCGGGAGGAGUCAGAAGUAUUUCGUGGGGAGCGGUAAAAUGUGAUAAUCCUCGAAGGACCACCUAUGGCGAAGGCAUCUAACUAGAACGGAUCUGACGAUGAGGGACGAAGGCUAGGGGAGCAAACCGGAUUAGAUACCCGAGUAGUCCUAGCAGUAAACGCUGCGAGCUAGGUGUUGCGUAUUCUUCGGGAAUAUGCAGUGUCGAAGCGAAGGCGAUAAGUUCACCGCCUGGGAAGUACGGUCGCAAGACUGAAACUUAAAGGAAUUGGCGGGGGAGCACUACAACGGGUGCGGCGUGCGGUUUAAUCUAACUUUACACAGAGAAUCUCACCAGAGGCGACGGCAGGAUGACAGUCACGUUGAAGACGCUAUCGGACGAGCCGAGAGGUAGUGCAUGGCCGCCGUCAGCUCGUGCCGUAAGGUGUCCUGUUAAGUCAGGCAACGAGCGAGAUCUACAUCUACAAUUGGCAGCAGCUAUUCUAUAGGACUGGUCACAUUGUAGGGACAGCCCGUGCAAACGGGAGGAAGGUGUAGCCAACGGUAGGUCUGUAUGCUCCGAAUCUUCUGGGCUACACGCGCGUAACAAUGGUAGGCACAAUGGCUGCUACUCCGAAAGGAGGCGCCAAUCCUCUAAAUCCUAUCUUAGUUCAGAUUGUGGGUUGUAACUCACCCACAUGACGUUGGAAUCUGUAG